rnacentral:rRNA from 1 species
AUGAACGCUAGCUACAGGCUUAACACAUGCAAGUCGAGGGGCAGCAUGAACUUAGCUUGCUAAGUUUGAUGGCGACCGGCGCACGGGUGAGUAACACGUAUCCAACCUGCCGAUGACUCGGGGAUAGCCUUUCGAAAGAAAGAUUAAUACCCGAUGGCAUAGUUCUUCCGCAUGGUAGGACUAUUAAAGAAUUUCGGUCAUCGAUGGGGAUGCGUUCCAUUAGGUUGUUGGCGGGGUAACGGCCCACCAAGCCUUCGAUGGAUAGGGGUUCUGAGAGGAAGGUCCCCCACAUUGGAACUGAGACACGGUCCAAACUCCUACGGGAGGCAGCAGUGAGGAAUAUUGGUCAAUGGACGAGAGUCUGAACCAGCCAAGUAGCGUGAAGGAUGACUGCCCUAUGGGUUGUAAACUUCUUUUAUACGGGAAUAAAGUGAGGCACGUGUGCCUUUUUGUAUGUACCGUAUGAAUAAGGAUCGGCUAACUCCGUGCCAGCAGCCGCGGUAAUACGGAGGAUCCGAGCGUUAUCCGGAUUUAUUGGGUUUAAAGGGAGCGUAGGCGGACGCUUAAGUCAGUUGUGAAAGUUUGCGGCUCAACCGUAAAAUUGCAGUUGAUACUGGGUGUCUUGAGUACAGUAGAGGCAGGCGGAAUUCGUGGUGUAGCGGUGAAAUGCUUAGAUAUCACGAAGAACUCCGAUUGCGAAGGCAGCUUGCUGGACUGUAACUGACGCUGAUGCUCGAAAGUGUGGGUAUCAAACAGGAUUAGAUACCCUGGUAGUCCACACAGUAAACGAUGAAUACUCGCUGUUUGCGAUAUACAGUAAGCGGCCAAGCGAAAGCGUUAAGUAUUCCACCUGGGGAGUACGCCGGCAACGGUGAAACUCAAAGGAAUUGACGGGGGCCCGCACAAGCGGAGGAACAUGUGGUUUAAUUCGAUGAUACGCGAGGAACCUUACCCGGGCUUGAAUUGCAACUGAAUGAUGUGGAGACAUGUCAGCCGCAAGGCAGUUGUGAAGGUGCUGCAUGGUUGUCGUCAGCUCGUGCCGUGAGGUGUCGGCUUAAGUGCCAUAACGAGCGCAACCCUUAUCGAUAGUUACCAUCAGGUUAUGCUGGGGACUCUGUCGAGACUGCCGUCGUAAGAUGUGAGGAAGGUGGGGAUGACGUCAAAUCAGCACGGCCCUUACGUCCGGGGCUACACACGUGUUACAAUGGGGGGUACAGAAGGCAGCUACACGGCGACGUGAUGCUAAUCCCGAAAGCCUCUCUCAGUUCGGAUUGGAGUCUGCAACCCGACUCCAUGAAGCUGGAUUCGCUAGUAAUCGCGCAUCAGCCACGGCGCGGUGAAUACGUUCCCGGGCCUUGUACACACCGCCCGUCAAGCCAUGAAAGCCGGGGGUACCUGAAGUGCGUAACCGCAAGGAGCGCCCUAGGGUAAAACUGGUGAUUGGGGCU